CCUACGGGAGGCAGCAGUAAGGAAUAUUGGGCAAUGGGCGAAAGCCUGACCCAGCAACGCCGCGUGAGGGACGAAGGCCUUCGGGUUGUAAAGCUCUUUCGGCAGGAACGAAACGGCGGACUCUAACAUAGUCUGUUAAUGACGGUACCUGAAGAAGAAGCACCGGCUAACUACGUGCCAGCAGCCGCGGUAAUACGUAGGGUGCGAGCGUUAAUCGGAAUUACUGGGCGUAAAGCGUGCGCAGGCGGCUUUGUAAGACGGAGGUGAAAUCCCUGGGCUUAACCUAGGAACUGCGUUCGUGACUGCAAAGCUAGAGUGCGGCGGAGGGGGGUGAAAUUCCUGGUGUAGCAGUAAAAUGCGUAGAGAUCAGGAGGAACACCGAGGGCGAAGGCAGCCCCCGGGGUUGGCACUGACG
rnacentral:rRNA from 1 species